CGCUCCGCACACGCACACCACGCACUGCGCGUAGGGCACCAAGUGCUUGGGGGGGGCACCAAAAAAUCUGGGUCGUGAAAAAUCAUCACAAUAGGCUACUAGUAUAAAUAACAAAUACAAUAUGUCUAAAGCAUGUUAAUAUACAAAAGCAAUACAAAAGUAAUAUAGGCCUAGACCAAAUUAGUGGAGAAAAAGGUGAAUCUCCUGUGCCAGUCUCCCUCUGGUGCCCCCCCUUCCCCACCUCGCAGUGGUCUGUUCCUCAAUCAGUGUCAAAUUUGGCAGACACCUGAUCGACAUCAGACAUGGCCUCGAAAAGGCACCAAGAGUCGGGGGCGGAAAAAAGGAAAAAGAAGAGACAGUGGGAUGAUACUCGUUUGCAGGGUCAAUGCUAAAAUACAUGCAAGGAGCAACUCAAGGCCAGGAGGAAGAACCAUCAACCAGCAGUUGUAGCCAGUUCCAAAUAUGUGUUUUUAGUAAUUGUGGUGUUUUUUGGUAUUUAUAAUUUUAACCUUUUUAUUAUUUAUUUCUUUUCAUAUUUGGUGCCAUUGUUAAUGUAAAUGUAUUUAUUUGCAGCAGUUAUUUUGGAAGUAAAGAGAACCUAACUAAGAAA